rnacentral:rRNA from 1 species
UACGGGGGGGGCAAGCGUUGUUCGGAAUUACUGGGCGUAAAGGGCUCGUAGGCGGCCAACUAAGUCAGACGUGAAAUCCCUCGGCUUAACCGGGGAACUGCGUCUGAUACUGGAUGGCUUGAGAUUGGGAGAGGGAUGCGGAAUUCCAGGUGUAGCGGUGAAAUGCGUAGAUAUCUGGAGGAACACCGGUGGCGAAGGCGGCAUCCUGGACCGGUAUUGACGCUGAGGCGCGAAAGCCAGGGGAGCAAACGGGG